CACGUAGCUAGCCGUGGCUUAUUCCUCAGGUACCGUCACUUGCUUCGUCCCUGAGAAAAGAAGUUUACAACCCGAAAGCCUUCUUCCUUCACGCGGCGUUGCUGGGUCAGGCUUGCGCCCAUUGCCCAAUAUUCCCCACUGCUGCCUCCCGUAGGAGUCUGGGCCGUGUCUCAGUCCCAAUGUGGCCGGCCAACCUCUCAGUCCGGCUACUGAUCGUCGCCUUGGUGGGCCGUUACCCCGCCAACUAGCUAAUCAGACGCGAGUCCAUCUCAGAGCGAUAAAUCUUUGAUGUCCAGUGCCAUGCGACACAGACAUAUUAUGCGGUAUUAGCAGCUGUUUCCAGCUUGUUACUUCCCCACUCCAAGGCUAGGUUACUCACGUCGUUACUCACCCGUCCGCCACUAACGUACGUCCCAUCAGUUCGUACCGUAAAACUCCUUCGACGGGGUACUCCGUUCGACUUGCAUUGUGUUAAGCGACGCCGCCACGUCGUU
rnacentral:rRNA from 1 species